UGGGGAAUAUUGCACAAUGGGCGCAAGCCUGAUGCAGCCAUGCCGCGUGUAUGAAGAAGGCCUUCGGGUUGUAAAGUACUUUCAGUCGGGAGGAAGGUGGUAAGGUUAAUAACCUUAUCGAUUGACGUUACCGCCAGAAGAAGCACCGGCUAACUCCGUGCCAGCAGCCGCGGUAAUACGGAGGGUGCAAGCGUUAAUCGGAAUUACUGGGCGUAAAGCGCACGCAGGCGGUUGAUUGAGUCAGAUGUGAAAUCCCCGGGCUUAACACGGGAAUUGCAUCUGAUACUGGUCAGCUAGAGUCUUGUAGAGGGGGGUAGAAUUCCACGUGUAGCGGUGAACUGCGUAGAGAUGUGGAGGAAUAACGGUGGCGGAGGCGGCCCCCUGGACAAAGACUGACGCUCAGGUGCGAAAGCGUGGGGAGCAAACAGG
rnacentral:rRNA from 1 species